AGUGAACGCUGGCGGUAGGCCUAACACAUGCCAGUCGAACGGCAGCACAGUAAGAUCUUGCUCUUACGGGUGGCGAGUGGCGGACGGGUGAGGAAUACAUCGGAAUCUACUUUUUCGUGGGGGAUAACGUAGGGAAACUUACGCUAAUACCGCAUACGACAUACGGGUGAAAGCAGGGGAUCUUCGGACCUUGCGCGAUUGAAUGAGCCGAUGUCGGAUUAGCUAGUUGGCGGGGUAAAGGCCCACCAAGGCGACGAUCCGUAGCUGGUCUGAGAGGAUGAUCAGCCACACUGGAACUGAGACACGGUCCAGACUCCUACGGGAGGCAGCAGUGGGGAAUAUUGGACAAUGGGCGCAAGCCUGAUCCAGCCAUACCGCGUGGGUGAAGAAGGCCUUCGGGUUGUAAAGCCCUUUUGUUGGGAAAGAAAAGCAGCAGGUUAAUACCCCGCUGUUCUGACGGUACCCAAAGAAUAAGCACCGGCUAACUUCGUG
rnacentral:rRNA from 1 species